ACCGGCAGCUCAAGUGGUGGCCAUUAUUAUUGGGCCUAAAGCGUUCGUAGCCGGUUUGAUAAGUCUCUGGUGAAAUCCCGCAGCUUAACUGUGGGACUUGCUGGAGAUACUAUCAGACUUGAGGUCGGGAGAGGUUAGGUGUACUCCCAGGGGAGGGGUGAAAUCCUAUAAUCCUGGGAGGACCACCUAUGGCGAAGGCGCCUAACUGGAACGAACCUGACGGUGAGUAACCAAAGCCAUGGGCGCGAACCA
rnacentral:rRNA from 1 species